GCCUUCGUGGUGUAGUGGUCAGCACGCUGGGAAGGUAUUCCAUAGAUCCGUGGUUCGAAUCCCGGCGAAGGUG
rnacentral:tRNA from 1 species